rnacentral:misc_RNA from 1 species
GGAAAUUUCAACUUAAGUUUCAGCUUCUCUCAUUGCUCAUUUGGUGUAACUUGUCUAAGGACUUUCUUUGGAUGAUUCAUUGUUCAUGGAAAGCGAAUUGAGUUUGCUUUUGUUCUGUUCAUUGGCUGAAGUAUAUAGUAUACAUACUUGCAACCACCACCUGCAAUGAAUUAAGAACUUCCUUUAAUGCCAUGAAGGCAUUUUAGCAAGAGAACCAAGUUAAG